rnacentral:rRNA from 1 species
UAGGGAAUCUUCGGCAAUGGACGAAAGUCUGACCGAGCAACGCCGCGUGAGUGAAGAAGGUUUUCGGAUCGUAAAACUCUGUUGUUAGAGAAGAACAAGGACGUUAGUAACUGAACGUCCCCUGACGGUAUCUAACCAGAAAGCCACGGCUAACUACGUGCCAGCAGCCGCGGUAAUACGUAGGUGGCAAGCGUUGUCCGGAUUUAUUGGGCGUAAAGCGAGCGCAGGCGGUUUCUUAAGUCUGAUGUGAAAGCCCCCGGCUCAACCGGGGAGGGUCAUUGGAAACUGGAAGACUUGAGUGCAGAAGAGGAGAGUGGAAUUCCAUGUGUAGCGGUGAAAUGCGGAGAUAUAUAGGGGAGAACCAGUGGCGAAGGCGGCUCUCUGGUCUGUAACUGACGCUGAGGCUCGAAAGCGUGGGGAGCAAACAGG